ensembl:lincRNA
UCUAAGCCAUGCAAGCCCAGCCUCCCUCAAUUCACUCCAAGAAGUCUUACUUACCUGUCCUCAGCUUACCUUACCUUACCUUACCCUUCCAUGCAACCAGUCCUGUCUUCCAGGCUAGGAAGGGCCGCUGUUGACAUCACCUCCAUGGGGGGAGGGAGAAACACCAAGAAGGGGUCAGUCAGUGACGUCACUGUGUGUCUGGAGGCCAGAGGAGGUUUGUUCUCUUGCCAAGCUCUCUGCAUUCCUUGGUAGUGGCUCAAGCCAGCCCCUCCCCCGCCCCCGGGGACACCAAUCAGGAUGUGGUAAAGUCGCUCUGGGGUGCCCAGCACCUUACUGACUAGUAAAUCCAUAGAACACAUAAGAUGAAAUGUACAACCAUCACAAGUGGAUGAAUUAAUUUAUUUAUGCAUUUAGUGAGGAAUUUCUCAUUGCUUUCUAAAUGAGUGAAAGGUCCAGGCUGGCUUUGGAUGGUACCUGAUUAAUGAGAGGCAGAUUUGGAUAAAAACAUAGUAAAGGUUGCAAAUGCCUUGGAUGGUAUUCCGAGUGGAGUGGCCUGGAAGUUUACAGCAAAAAGGAAAACAAAUACAAUCUUCUCAUUUUGGACGCUUUCUGGUGGAUGUUAAGAGUUUGCCUAUAGUUUCAGUAGAUGCUGGAGUUUCUCGACACGUGUGGCCUCCCAAGGAAGAGAUGAUGGUGAGAAGAGGUUCAGCCCACCAGCCUUUCCUAUCUUUCUUCCUGUCCUUUGCUCCAGAAGACUCCCUCCUGUCUGCCCAUGGAGCUCAUCACCACACCACCUGUCACCCCGCUUCCAGGGGGCCCGAGCGGCUGUCCCUCUUGGUCUGUGUGUCCUACAAGAACCCUGCUAAAUGGAGAUUUGGCCGGAGAAGGCGAUGGCACCCCACUCCAGUACUCUUGCCUGGAGAAUCCCAUGGAUGGAGGAGCCUGGUGGGCUGCAGUCCAUGGGGUCGCGGAGAGUCGGACGCCACUGAGCGACUUCCCUUUCACUUUUCACUUUCAUGCAUUGGAGAAGAAAAUGGCAACCCACUCCAGUGUUCUUGCCUGGAGAAUCCCAGGGACGGGGGAGCCUGGUGAGCUGCUGUCUAUGGGGUCGCACAGGGUCGGACACGACUGAAGCGACUUAGCAGCAGCAGCAAUGAUUUGGCCAAUCUUUUAAUUUUUAUGAGUUAGUGUGCCUCUUAUAGGCAGCAUGUAGAUGAACUUUUUUAAGAAAAUAUAAAUUAAAUCAAUAGAAAGAAAAUAUCCUAGUAAAUCAGUAACUAUAGAUGGUAUGAAACAAGUUGUUGAUGAACAAUCUUCAACAAAAUCAAAAGGCUCAAAUGGGUAUAUAGUUUAUGGGCGGCUUUUUUCAAACUUACAAAAAGAAAUAAUUCCCAUACUAAAUAAAUCAUUGCAGAAAACAGCAAAAUAGAUAAAGUUUUCCAAGUCAAUUUAUAAAUUUGUGUAAUCUUGUUACCAAACCUGGGGAACCCAGAUCAAAAACAGCGCUACACACCAAUAUUAUUUAUAAACAGAGAUAAAAAGCUUUAAAAUGUUUUAGCGAAUCAAAUCCAGAAAUAUAUUAGAAGAAUAAUAUAUCAUACCAAGGAGAUUUUAUUCCAGGAAUGCUUCCAUGUGAAGAAAAUAAUAAUACAAUUUAUCACACAAAAAGGUUUGAGAAAAAACAUCUCAACAGAUACUAAAAAAGCAUUUGUUAAAAUUCAACAUUUACUCCCAGUAAAAGCAAUUAAUAAACAUAUACCUAAUAUCAUGGUUAAGAAUAAAAUAAUAAAGAUGUGACUGUUUAAAAACGAAUAAAGAUGUUUAUUACUAUAACUGCUAUUAAAAUUUUUCUAGAAGUUUCCAUUAGAAGGCAUACAGAAAAAAUAAUAUGAUAAAAAUAUUUGAAAAAGAGGAAAAAUAUUGCAAAUUAUUUGAUUGUCUAGAAUGAGUUGAGCAUAAACUACAAAAUAAAUUAUCUAUCAAAUAUAUAUCUGAGAAGCAGUAAAGCUUGACUGCAGCCUUGAAAUUAAAAAAUGCUUGCUCCUUGGAAGGAAAGCUAUGACAAACCUAGACAGCCUAUUAGAAAGGAGAGACGUCAUUUGCCGACAAAGGUCCAUACAGCCAAAACUAUGGCUUUUCCAAGGCCAAGCACCGAAGAACUGAUGCUUUUAAAUUGUGGUGCUGGAGAGGACUCGAGAGUCCCUUGGACUGCAAGGGAUCAAACUAAUCAAUCCUAAAGGAAGUCAACCCUGAAUAUUCAUUGGAAGGGCUUUGCUGAAGCUGAAGCUCCAGUAUUUUGGCCACCUGAUGCUAAAAGCCAACCCACUAGAAAAGACCCUGAUGCUGAGAAAGAUUGAAGGCAAAAGGAGAAGGGUGGCAGAAGAUGAGAUGGUUAGGUACCAUCACUGACUUAAUUGACGUGAAUUUGAGCAGACUCUGGGAGACAUUGGAGGACAGAGGAGCCUGAUGUGCUGUAGUCCAUGGGCUUGCAAUGAGCCAGACAUGGCUUAGUGACUGAACAACAACAAAAACUUGGUAACCAAGUGCAUAAACUCAGGGCUGCCGUUUGAAGUCUGACUCUGCUGCUUGCCAGCUAUGUGACUAUGGACAAAGAAAUUAAGUCUGUUAAUUCAAAAGAAAUCAAUAAACUUUGGCUUUUAUUCUGAAUGAAAAUUCAUUUGAGGGUUUUGAACAGAGAUGAGAC